rnacentral:ncRNA from 2 species
CAUUAACUGAAUAAUAUGUGUUCUUUUAUUUAAAAGCGAAGAUGGAAACAGGUUAAAAUCCUGUGCGGUACCGCCACCGUAAGCGUGUAGUUUCUCUAUACAUCACUGAGAGAUUGGGAAGACUGAGAAAUGUAGAUGCGCAAGCCGGGAGACAUGCACAAAAUUAUCUUGUAUU